rnacentral:rRNA from 1 species
UGGGGAAUUUUGGACAAUGGGCGAAAGCCUGAUCCAGCAAUGCCGCGUGUGUGAAGAAGGCCUUCGGGUUGUAAAGCACUUUUGUCCGGAAAGAAAUGGCUCUGGUUAAUACCUGGGGUCGAUGACGGUACCGGAAGAAUAAGGACCGGCUAACUACGUGCCAGCAGCCGCGGUAAUACGUAGGGUCCAAGCGUUAAUCGGAAUUACUGGGCGUAAAGCGUGCGCAGGCGGUUGUGCAAGACCGAUGUGAAAUCCCCGAGCUUAACUUGGGAAUUGCAUUGGUGACUGCACGGCUAGAGUGUGUCAGAGGGGGGUAGAAUUCCACGUGUAGCAGUGAAAUGCGUAGAGAUGUGGAGGAAUACCGAUGGCGAAGGCAGCCCCCUGGGAUAACACUGACGCUCAUGCACGAAAGCGUGGGGAGCAAACAGGAUUAGAUACCCUGGUAGUCCACGCCCUAAACGAUGUCAACUAGUUGUUGGGGAUUCAUUUCCUUAGUAACGUAGCUAACGCGUGAAGUUGACCGCCU